AGAGCGAACGCUGGCGGCAUGCUUAACACAUGCAAGUCGCACGGGCAGGGGAAACCCUGUCAGUGGCGGACGGGUGAGUAACGCGUAGGUAUCUAUCCUUGGGUGGGGGAUAACGGUUGGAAACGACUGCUAAUACCGCAUGAUAACUGAGGUUUAAAGGCGCAAGUCGCCUGGGGAGGAGCCUGCGUACGAUUAGCUUGUUGGUGGGGUAAAGGCCUACCAAGGCGACGAUCGUUAGCUGGUCUGAGAGGAUGAUCAGCCACAUUGGGACUGAGACACGGCCCAAAACUCCUACGGGAGGCAGCAGUGGGGAAUAUUGGACAAUGGGCGAAAGCCUGAUCCAGCAAUGCCGCGUGUGUGAAGAAGGUCUUCGGAUUGUAAAGCACUUUCGACAGGGACGAUGAUGACGGUACCUGUAGAAGAAGCCCGGCUAACUUCGCGCCAGCAGCCGC
rnacentral:rRNA from 1 species